GCUAAGAUUGCUAAACGAUGGAAAAUUCAAUGCAACUAUGCUAAGGCUGUCAAUGGUAGGAUUUGGUUGCUUUGGAAGCCUCAUAUUCAAGUCCUUAUUUCUAAUGUGACUGAUCAGUUAAUACAAUGUAUGUUAGAAGAUGUUCAAGGCAAAGUCAGAACUCAUUUGAGUGUAGUCUAUGCUCAUAAUACUGCAGGCAAUAGGGAACAGUUGUGGUGUGAUUUGCAGGCAGUCAACAUUCCCAGUCAGGAUCCUUGGGUACUU
rnacentral:lncRNA from 1 species